AUUGAACGCUGGCGGCAUGCUUUACACAUGCAAGUCGAACGGUAACAGGGUGCUUGCACCGCUGGCGAGUGGCGAACGGGUGAGUAAUGCGUCGGAACGUGCCGAGUAGUGGGGGAUAACGCAGCGAAAGUUGUGCUAAUACCGCAUACGUACUGAGGUAGAAAGUGGGGGACCUUCGGGCCUCACGCUAUUCGAGCGGCCGACGUCUGAUUAGCUAGUAGGUGAGGUAAAGGCUCACCCAGGCGACGAUCAGUAGCGGGUCUGAGAGGAUGAUCCGCCACACUGGGACUGAGACACGGCCCAGACUCCUACGGGAGACAGCAGUGGGGAAUUUUGGACAAUGGGCGAAAGCCUGAUCCAGCCAUGCCGCGUGUCUGAAGAAGGCCUUCGGGUUGUAAAGGACUUUUGUCAGGGAGGAAAUCCCUAGUGCUAAUAACACUGGGGGAUGACAGUACCUGAAGAAUAAGCACCGGCUAACUACGUGCCAGCCGCCGCGGUAA
rnacentral:rRNA from 1 species